UACGUAGGUGGCGAGCGUUGUCCGGAUUUACUGGGCGUAAAGGGCGUGCAGGCGGUUUGUUAAGUGCAGGGUGAAAGCUCCCGGCUCAACUGGGAGAGGUCCUUGCAUACUGGCGAACUCGAGGGAGGCAGAGGAAAGUGGAAUUCCCGGUGUAGUGGUGAUAUGCGUAGAUAUCGGGAGGAACACCUGUGGCGAAGGCAAUCCCCUGGACCUGUACUGACGCUCAUGCACGAAAGCGUGGGGAGCAAACAGG
rnacentral:rRNA from 1 species